ensembl:lncRNA
UCUCUGAGGACGCCGGCCCACCUCCCUCGGGGGUUCCCAGCCGGGCGCCGGGGACGGACCCGCGCGGCCCUCGUCUACACCGCCCCCGGACGCCGGGGUCCGGCCGACAGCGCGGGCUUAGCGGGCAGCGGGCCUCGGACUGGUGCUGUUUGACCGCCUUCCCCUUGAGCUGGCUCCCGACGGGGAGGCAGCAGGUGGACCCGUCUUAAAGGACAGGACGAGUCUGGUGACAGCCCGAGUCGAGGGCUCCCAGGGCUGCCCGGAUCAGGUGGAGCGGUCCUUAGAGCAGACGCGGAAGACAGCCCGCGGCCACGCGGGCCGGGUGGGAGGAGAGGGCGCAGCCCGGAGCUGCAGGGGACAAAGCAGGCCUGCUGGGGCCUUGCCCUUCUCGGUUCUUAUCUUGUGGCCCAGAGGUGGACGGCUGGCUUAAAGAAAGAGGACCAGGCCAGCUCCUCUGUGGAGCUGACAGGCUCCUCCGGCGACCGUCACAGGCAGGGCUGCCAGAUACAACACAGGACACCAGUCAAACCUGAAUUUCAGAUCGACAAGCUGGCUGGCAGUCCUAUCCCAGGCAACAGAGAAGGUCCCACCUUCAGCAUCACACUCCUCAUCAGCUCUCAAUAAAGACCCCCACGAAGGAGGAAAGAUCCACAGGGCUGCAGAGAGAAGCAGGAAUGUGGGAACAGGCAGAAACGUGGUAAAGUAAGCUCCCUCUCCUGCCUCAAACAGCUUGAAGGUCAUGGUGAUGACAGCCCUUUAGAAACUCAACGCAAACGGUCCUUUUCUCCAGACCACAUCCUGCUGGAUGAUGGUUUCCUAUACACCCUAUUCUGCUAUUCUGACUGAAACCAAGCUCUUUCAGUCUUGGCCUGGUGCUCUGUCUCUCUUAAAAAAAAAAAAGAAAAAAGAAAAAGAAAGAAGAAAGGAAAGAAUGUAUUUUCCCCAUUACGAAAUAGAGUAAAUUUACUAAAUUAAAGAAAAAUGAAAAGAAUAAAUAUCAUCUCUUGUCUACGCCCUAGAGGCCACUGCUGGUGACCUUUGGGUGUUUCACUCCAGGCUUUUCACAUAGCUCUUGCUUGUAAACAACUUUGUAUACAACUUUGUCUUCCUACUGCACGGCACGCACCAUCUCGGACAGAAUUAGGGACAAAACGACAGUGGCAAGAAGAAGAGAAGAAGAAACAGGAGCAAGCAAUUUGUCCCGAGGGCGUGGGGGCAGUGCAGGCCAGAAGUCAGUUAGUCAGGAGAGGAAGUGAACGUUUAUUCAUCCUUUUGAGGACUGCUUUUUUUUGAGCCCCAAGUACCUGCUCUGUGGGAACACAGAUCCUAUAAUAAAACUGAAAGCAGGGGAAAAUAAAUCCACAGAUCAUGUCAACACUGUGGGAUAAGUGCUAAAACCACAGGAAGCCUGGGAGCAGAAGAAGCCAGAGGAUGGGGUAGGAGUCAGAGCCGGCUCUCUGGGAGAAGGACGCCCAAGCUGAACCUUGACCUACUGACCUGUAGAGUCAAGCCAGGAAGCUCUUGAAAGUCUCAAAGCGGGACGCUGACCCAACCGGACUGCACUUUGAUGAAGACCAAGCCUGCAGCUGAGGAGGAGCGAGGUGAGGAGUGCAGCACAGUGGAGGGGAGCCCGAGGACCGGAAGGCGAGUGAGGGCACUGCUGCGUAAAUCCAGGUCUGCAGUCUCUCCGAGGUUGCCUUUUAUGCACAGUGUGAGAUGUCAUCUAACGACCACCACAAUGGAGAUACCGAAUGUUCCAUCAGACACUCCCCUGGCCCCAGAACUUAAACCAGCAGAGGGAGACAGAUCCCCAGCAGAGCACAGUGGAAAACGUUUUCCAAUUUCCUGCGUCCUCCCGGUGUCCCUGCCUUCUCCACGGUCUCCUGGGCUGAUCUUGCCGCUUCCAGAGCCCUUCCUACUGUCUCCCUCCAACCGAAGCUUAGAUUCGUGAGCUGACUCCUUCGGGCACACAGGGUAGCUUGCUGGCUCAUCUGGCGGAAGAGAGGAGGCCUUCUGAACGCAAGCCCUCCCGGGAAACCGGUUCGCACGUAACAAGGAACUUGGAUGCUGAAACCCAGAGUCUUGAAGAGAGAAUUGUAGACACUGAGGCAGAGGAGAUGUUUGGAAGGGGCUUUCGGUCUGAGACUUUUCCAGAUCCCUCAGCUCACAGCGGCACAGAGGCCUGCACCCUGCUUCCGUUCUGAGAGCGCGUUCCCGCUUCCCAUGCAACCUCAGCAACCUCAGCCUGUGUCUGGGAAGAAGCUGCCCUCGGCCUCUUCCUUCCAGAAAACAGCAGGCUGUUUUGUUGUUUGGUUGUCUCUCACACGUCCAGUUCCUCCAGAGCUUCCGGACCCCUUUUCCUUGGCUCCCGAAGGGAGCACCUGGAAUGUUCACACUCUACCUGGAGAACCGCGCUGUCUCCUCGGGCAUUUCUGCUGCACAGGAGAGAAAAAGCUAGUUCAUUUAAGCCAAAAACUUAAGUAGGGACUGGAUUCAAAAACAAGCCUUUCUCAAAAAAAAACACCUCCUCCUUUGCCUGUGGUUACUAGAGGCAAGUCAUGAGCCUCUUUUGCAGAUAGCGCUUGAAUUAUUGGUCUGGUUCUAACAACUGGCACUUUCCAGCAGGACGUUAGGGAGUGAAGUGUGUGCACCAUGAUAGAAGACGGUUUGGAAGCCACCCUAGACAAGGAGGGCUGAGCCUGCAGGAAGGAAGUUGUGAAGGGUCACCGCCCAGCACGGGACUGCACUUAUUCUCUGCCGCUCCAGAGAGCCAAGCGAGAACCAGCAGCUGGUCUUGGGCAUGCGGCAUAAGGGAAGAUGGUGGGGAAGUGGUCCGUGGAGAAGUGGUGCAGCCAGGGGAAACUAGUGCAGCUGGAGUCUGACUCCAGCAAGGGCUUCUUAGCACCCAAAGCCCGGCCUGAGAGAAUGUGGUAAACAGCAUGAUUCGGGCAGCCACUGGCAUCGAGUGAUCCAACCCAGUGGGUGGGCAAAGCAGCAAGGGAUGCUAGGCAGCAUUUCAGAAGUCCUUCCUCAAGGGACCAUAACAGCUAACGUAGGGAGUGUGGGGGCAGGACGCAACAGGAUGAAGGUAUGGCCCCAGUACCUAAUCACCACCCAAGUUCUGGACAAGGCCCCAGUCACAGGGGGAAGCUGGGGAACAGCACAGAAACUAAGUGAGCAGAUCCUUGGUUAAAGCCAACCCCCACAGACUUGGCUAGUGGAAUGGGCUGGGGAGGGAGGGAGGAGAAGCAUAAGGAGGGCUCGGGUUCGAGGUCACUUCAUGGGGCCCAGGAUGCACCAGGCCCAUGGUGUGCUGGCCGUGGAGGGGUCUGGCAGUGCAUGUGGGCCCGUGAAUGAGACGUAGUGUGUGGAGUUGAGGAAGAGACAACAAAGCGGGGCUGAUGGAGAGGCUACCUGAGGAGAUGCGGGUGAUGAAGGAUCGGGAAAGCUCGUGCAGAGACCAGUGCCCUGCUGGGAGGGGAGCUUUCAGUGUGAGAGGGUUAACCGCUUGGCCUUUAAGGCCCAAGCCAGCUCUAAUGCACUGAUCCUACGGGGCCCGUGAGACACAAGGCCUGGGAACCACCCUCUCCAGGUGCUCCCUGUCUAUACUCAACUGUCCGUCCUCCUCCUUGUUUGGAAUCGAGUGUUUCAAGAACAGGUUCCCUUGGCAAUCUAGUUAGAAUGUUGUCAGGCCAGCUUGUACUCCACCCCAGCAUCUCGCAGUCUCUCCAAACUGGGGUCUCUUGGCCUCCCUUGUGGGUGCAGCCCUGUCGCAGCCUCCAGGCUCCGCUCUGCGGCAGCAGGUGCACAGAACAGCAGAGCUAGUUCGGGCUCGUCUGGUGUCCGCUUCUGAUGUGUGAACUUGCUCCUGUUUCUGAGACUUGCGGACUCCGCUGGGGUUAACUGGGGAUUUGCCUUGCUUCUCAUACUCGGAUCUGUUAUGGAAACCCUGGGCCUUGGCUUGCACAUCCCAGGCUCGGUAGCUGGGCCCUGAUAUCUGCUGACUCCUUUUCCUGAUGGCAGCUUCUGCUUGUCCAAACUGCUGAGCGUCCCGUGCCUCCAGUCAUCCUGAUAGGCUUACCUGCAGCCUACUCCUCAGUACAUAUAUGCUGUUCUGCUGUUCUAGCAUCACUGUCGCUGGUGCACCCAUCUCCCAGGUUCUGACUGUGUCCCGAAAGUAGAGCCAGCAUGUGGGCUGUGAGAGAAAGAGAUGAGCAAAGAAAAAUUCCAAGGUUUUUGGCUUGGAAAACCGGAAGGAAGGAGUUGCCGACCGAGAUGGGCAAGGCUGUAAGUAGAACACGUGUGGGGGAUUAGCAGUUCAGUUUUGACUCGCUAAGUCAGAGAUGUCCAUUAGCCAUCCUGGGAUGGAGCCUGAGUUGGCCACUGGACAUAUUCCUCUGGAGUGUGGGGGAGAGGCCUGGACUGGAUGUUGUUGUUUUGGACAUUGUUGGCACAUAGAUGGCAUUUAAGACAUUGCGCUGGGUGAGAUCACCAAUGGGUUGACAUAGAUACAAAAAAGAAAAAGUCCGAGACAUUCCUGCAUUAAAAGAUUGGGAAGAAGAGGAGGAACCAACAAAGAAGACCGCUUACUGGAAAGUGCCUGCUUUUUCCAGCAAAUAAUUAGUAACCAUGACCAUAGAUGACCACAGAUGUGCGUUAGGACCUGAGCAGUUUUUCUCUUUGUGUGUUUGUUUAUAGCGUGCCUCACUUUACACACAGACAAGACGGCACAUACUCACCAUCAGCAAAGGUCCUUUUCAAUAUUUCCUACCGCAGACGGGGGUUGGCUCCACGGCUCCCUCAUUUUCUCUCAUGUGGGGUCGGCGGUGUGCGUCGGCGGUAAGACGCCGCGGAGGCAGAAGCAGAGACUGUCCCGGGAGCGGUGCGGUGCAUAGCGUCACAUCGGAUGGAAUACGCGGUUUAAGAAGAAUCUUCCCUCUGCAAACACGCUCGCCGAUCACACCUGCGGGGGGCCUGGCUUUCUGUGGUUCACAUAUUCUUCAUCCGCAUUCAACUUUUCCUUUAACGUGAGAGUACUUCUGCUGCAUCAGUGACCUCCUUGGGCCAAAUGUUAAGUACAGUUUAUGCUAAGCCAGUUUAUUUCUGCUAAAAGUAGACCUCUGCUUAUCAUGUCUGUCCUUUCUUCCCUCGAAGACAGACAAACGAAUAAAGCCAGCCACCUCGAGAAGCUGAUGCUCUCGGCACAGGGCUGAGUGCUAUGCUAGGAACAGUUCCAUCUGCUAAAUGCCUACACAGGGCUGGUAGUAAAAAUCACAGCAAAUUUCCAUCUUUUCCUGCAACACCCAAGUCCUUCCAAGGAAACUCCCCAUCCGGCCACAUGAGAUAAAAUUAGAAACCUGCUAACUUUGCUGCCUCCCCAGGACUGCUAACUUCAACAGAGGCUGCAUUUCUUCAAUUACGGAACUAUAAACAGUAAGCUAAUAACAACGGAGAAGAGGAAAACAACAAUAAAGAAAC